CUUAAAAAAAAAAAUUAUGAAAACGAUGUUUAGCAGAACAAUUACCAGGAUAAAUUCUAAAAGCAUUAAAACAAACAAAAAAAGCCAACGAUAGUACCAAAGUAAAACUGUACCGUUAUAAAAUUCACAGCUGUAUAUACAACGGACCAAACCUCUUUCAUAAUACUCAUGAGAACACAACUUGUUUUCUGAACCAUUAGCUAUACACAGAACAGGCUAAUGUAACAUAAUUAUUACAGUGUAUUAAUCCUUUCCCCUCAAAUUUGCUAAAAAGAUGGUCAGCUGCAUUAUUUAUCUGAAUCUUCUUACAACUUUUACUGCAUUAGACAGCUAAUGAAACUGAAUUAUUUUGCAUGGACCUAAAAGAAACCUGAGGAUACCUGGUUUUAGCCACGACUGCCUUCUCUAGAUUGCAAUUACACAAUACAUAUGUAACUUAUAGAAAACAUCUUGGUGAUAUUUUACUACUCCAAACUACAUGUAACAAUUCCUGUGCUCACUUCGGCAGCAUUUAUACUAAAACUGGACCAAUACAGAGAUUAGAAUGGUCCCCAUACAAGGAUGACAUGCAAAUCCAUGAACACUCCAUAUUUUUGUAUAUAUAUCCCAUGAAUACUACACAGCCACAGAAAAAAAAGGAUGAAAUAAUGCCCUUCAAAUAAAAUAAUAUCCAUGGAUGGAGCUGUAGACCAUAAUCUAAGUGAAUUAACACAGAAACAGAAAACCAAACACCGCAUGUUCUCACUUACAAGUGCAAGUUAAACACUGAGCACACAUGGACAUAAACAUGUAACAACACUGUCGACUACUAGAGGGGGGAAGGAGGGGAACAUGGGUUGAAAACUACCCACUGCGUACCAUGCUCACUACCUGGAUGCAAUAUUACCCAUGUAACAAACCUGCACAUAUACCUCCAGUAUCUAAAAUAAAAGCUGAAUUUAAAAAAGAAAAGAAAAAUUUCCUCUCACCAUGACCUUUUCCACCUUUUAUUUUCUUCCUUUUUAC
rnacentral:lncRNA from 1 species